UGGGGAAUUUUGGACAAUGGGGGAAACCCUGAUCCAGCCAUCCCGCGUGUGCGAUGAAGGCCUUCGGGUUGUAAAGCACUUUUGGCAGGAAAGAAACGUCGCGGGUUAAUACCCCGCGAAACUGACGGUACCUGCAGAAUAAGCACCGGCUAACUACGUGCCAGCAGCCGCGGUAAUACGUAGGGUGCAAGUGUUAAUCGGAAUUACUGGGCGUAAAGCGUGCGCAGGCGGUUCGGAAAGAAAGAUGUGAAAUCCCAGAGCUUAACUUUGGAACUGCAUUUUUAACUACCGGGCUAGAGUGUGUCAGAGGGAGGUGGAAUUCCGCGUGUAGCAGUGAAAUGCGUAGAUAUGCGGAGGAACACCGAUGGCGAAGGCAGCCUCCUGGGAUAACACUGACGCUCAUGCACGAAAGCGUGGGGAGCAAACAGGAUUAGAUACCCUGGUAGUCCACGCCCUAAACGAUGUCAACUAGCUGUUGGGGCCUUCGGGCCUUGGUAGCGCAGCUAACGCGUGAAGUUGACCGCCUGGGGAGUACGGUCGCAAGAUUAAAACUUAAAUGAAUUGAC
rnacentral:rRNA from 1 species